AUCCUUUCUGGUUCAUGAGCGCGAGUGAUGAUUGGGUUCUCAUGCACUUGCGUGACAUGUGCCUCCCUCCACACCUUGUUAUGCUAUGGGCACAGUACCCUUCUGACG